rnacentral:tRNA from 2 species
GUUUUAUUAGUAUAAGAAGUAUGAUUGUUUUCCAAACAAUUGGUUUAAAUUUAUUUAAAUGAAAUA